rnacentral:rRNA from 1 species
UACAGAGGUCUCAAGCGUUGUUCGGAUUCAUUGGGCGUAAAGCGCGUUCAGGCGGUUCGGCAAGUCGGGCAUGAAAUCUCUCGGCUCAACCGGGAGAGGUUGUCCGAUACUGUUGGACUUGAGGGCAGUAGAGGGUGGUGGAAUUCCGGGUGUAGUGGUGAAAUGCGUAGAUAUCCGGAGGAACACCAGUGGCGAAAGCGGCCACCUGGACUGUACCUGACGCUCAAACGCGAAAGCUAGGGGAGCGAACGGG